GACGAACGCUGGCGGCGUGCCUAAUACAUGCAAGUCGAGCGGACGUUUUUGAAGCUUGCUUCUAAAACGUUAGCGGCGGACGGGUGAGUAACACGUGGGCAACCUACCUUAUCGACUGGGAUAACUCCGGGAAACCGGGGCUAAUACCGGAUAAAAUAUAGCACAUCCCGGUCCCGGAUUAAAAGAGGGCUUCUUGCUCUCACGAUGGGAUGGGCCCGCGGAGCAGAAGCUAGUUGGAGAGGUAACGGCUCCCCAAGGCGACGAUGCUGAGGCGACCUUGGAGGGUGAUCGGCCACACUGGGACUGAGACACGGCCCAGACUCCUACGGGAGGCAGCAGGAGGGAAUCUUCCGCAAUGGACGAAAGUCUGACGGAGCAACGCCGCGUGAGUGAUGAAGGGUUUCGGCUCGUAAAGCUCUGUUAUGAGGGAAGAACACGUACCGUUCGAAUAGGGCGGUACCUUGACGGUACCUCAUCAGAAAGCCACGGCUAACUACGUGCCAGCAGCCGCGGUAA
rnacentral:rRNA from 1 species